AACAUCGCGCACCUGCGGGAACCUGCGGAAGGAUCAUUACAGAGUUGCAAAACUCCCUAAACCAUUGUGAACGUUACCUAAACCGUUGCUUCGGCGGGCGGCGCGCCCUCGCGCGCGCCCCUGGGCCCCACCGCGGGCGCCCGCCGGAGGUCACCAAACUCUUGAUAUUAAUUGGCCUCUCUGAGUCUUCUGUACUGAAUAAGUCAAAACUUUCAACAAUGGAUCUCAGAUCGGAAGAGC
rnacentral:misc_RNA from 1 species